rnacentral:rRNA from 1 species
GACGUAGGGCGCGAGCGUUGUCCGGAUUUAUUGGGCGUAAAGAGCUCGUAGGCGGCUUGUUGCGUCGACUGUGAAAACCCGCGGCUUAACCGCGGGCUUGCAGUUGAUACGGGCAGGCUAGAGUUCGGUAGGGGAGACUGGAAUUCCUGGUGUAGCGGUGAAAUGCGCAGAUAUCAGGAGGAACACCAGCGGCGAAGGCGGCGCUCUGGGCCGGUACUGACACUGAGGAGCGAAAGCGUGGGUAGCAAACAGG